GGCUGUGGAAUGUGUGGAAGCAGGUACAGCCCAGGCCUGCGCUGAGGUUCGGCAGGGAAGCCAGAGGAGUCCGCAGCUGGGGAGACCUGGCCUACAGCGGAGAGAGUGGCCCGAGGCAGCCGGGAUGACAGCUCUCCCCAGGAAUCCUGCUGCCUGCUGAGAAACAUGGUCAGCAAGUCCCGCUGGAAGCUCCUGGCCAUGUUGGCUCUGGUGCUGGUCGUCAUGGUGUGGUAUUCCAUCUCCCGGGAAGACAGGUACAUCGAGCUUUUUUAUUUUCCCAUCCCGGAGAAGAAGGAGCCGUGCCUCCAGGGUGAGGCAGAGAGCAAGGCCUCUAAGCUCUUUGGCAACUACUCCCGGGAUCAGCCCAUCUUCCUGCGGCUUGAGGAUUAUUUCUGGGUCAAGACGCCAUCUGCUUACGAGCUGCCCUAUGGGACCAAGGGGAGUGAGGAUCUGCUCCUCCGGGUGCUAGCCAUCACCAGCUCCUCCAUCCCCAAGAACAUCCAGAGCCUCAGGUGCCGCCGCUGUGUGGUCGUGGGGAACGGGCACCGGCUGCGGAACAGCUCGCUGGGAGAUGCCAUCAACAAGUACGAUGUGGUCAUCAGAUUGAACAAUGCCCCAGUGGCUGGCUAUGAGGGUGACGUGGGCUCCAAGACCACCAUGCGUCUCUUCUACCCUGAAUCUGCCCACUUCGACCCCAAAGUAGAAAACAACCCAGACACACUCCUCGUCCUGGUAGCUUUCAAGGCAAUGGACUUCCACUGGAUUGAGACCAUCCUGAGUGAUAAGAAGCGGGUAAGUUGGGGGACAGACUAGGGGCUGAGGCCUGGUGGUGGGGACGCUGCCCGAGUCAGGACCUCACGCUCCUUGAUGUCUGCCUGGCAGUCCUAAAGAGCCUGUGUGGGGACAGCAUGAACUGGGCUCCUGGCAGUCAGCGCCUUAGGCUGCCCUCCAAGGGUGGUGCUCCGAUAAGCUGCCCCAGCAACUGGGUAUAAAAGCCUGCAGGUUUCAGGUGGCAGCAGCCACAGGCACCCACGCUCCAGGCGUGUCUGCGACAGGAACGCUUUCCCAGUAGGUGUUUGCCUGUGAGGAACUCAGGAGCU
rnacentral:sRNA from 1 species